rnacentral:rRNA from 1 species
GACGAACGCUGGCGGCGUGCUUAACACAUGCAAGUCGAACGAUGAACCAGGGCUUGCCCUGGGGAUUAGUGGCGAACGGGUGAGUAACACGUGGGCAACCUGCCCCAGACACCGGGAUAACCAUUCGAAAGAGUGGCUAAUACCGGAUACGACCACUUUGGGCAUCCAACGGUGGUGGAAAGGAUUCUGGUCUGGGAUGGGCCCGCGGCCUAUCAGCUUGUUGGUGGGGUAAUGGCCUACCAAGGCGACGACGGGUAGCCGGCCUGAGAGGGCGACCGGCCACACUGGGACUGAGACACGGCCCAGACUCCUACGGGAGGCAGCAGUGGGGAAUAUUGCGCAAUGGGCGAAAGCCUGACGCAGCGACGCCGCGUGAGGGACGAAGGUCUUCGGAUUGUAAACCUCUUUCAGCAGGGACGAAGCGAAAGUGACUGUACCUGCAGAAGAAGCACCGGCUAACUACGUGCCAGCCGCCGCAGUAAGAC